ensembl:snoRNA predicted gene, 24183
GUCAGCCAGUUGGACAGGUACAAAAAUAAAUCCUCUUUUGCAACCCAGAACUCAUUGCUCAGUAUGAGUUUUGAUACAUACAAGAAGGAAUAUA